AUACGGAGGAUCCGAGCGUUAUCCGGAUUUAUUGGGUUUAAAGGGAGCGUAGGUGGAUUGUUAAGUCAGUUGUGAAAGUUUGCGGCUCAACCGUAAAAUUGCAGUUGCAACUGGCAGUCUUGAGUACAGUAGAGGUGGGCGGAAUUCGUGGUGUAGCGGUGAAAUGCUUAGAUAUCACGAAGAACUCCGAUUGCGAAGGCAGCUCACUAGACUGCAACUGACACUGAUGCUCGAAAGUGUGGGUAUCAAACAGGAUUAGAUACCCUGGUAGUCCACACAGUAAACGAUGAAUACUCGCUGUUUGCGAUAUACAGUAAGCGGCCAAGCGAAAGCAUUAAGUAUUCCACCUGGGGAGUACGCCGGCAACGGUGAAACUCAAAUGAAUUGACGGGG
rnacentral:rRNA from 1 species